ACUCAAAUGAAUUGACGGGGGCUCACACAAGCGGUGGAGGAUGUGGCUUAAUUCGAGGCUACGCGAAGAACCUUAUCCAGGCCUUGACAUGUACGGAUGCUGCCCGUGAAAGCGGGUUAGUUGCCUUCGGGUGAAACGUGCACAGGUGCUGCAUGGCUGUCGUCAGCUCGUGUCGUGAGAUGUCGGGUUAAGUCCCUUAACGAGCGAAACCCUUGUCUUUAGUUGCCAGCGAGUCAUGUCGGGGACUCUAAAGAGACUGCCGGUGUUAAACCGGAGGAAGGUGGGGAUGACGUCAAGUCCUCAUGGCCUUUAUGGUCUGGGCUGCACACGUCCUACAAUGGCAUAUACAAAGGGAUGCUACCUCGCGAGAGCAAGCAAAUCCCAAAAAGUAUGCCCCAGUUCGGAUUGCAGGCUGCAACUCGCCUGCAUGAAGCCGGAAUCGCUAGUAAUCGUGGAUCAGCAUGCCACGGUGAAUAUGUUCCUGAGCCUUGCACACACCGCCCGU
rnacentral:rRNA from 1 species